rnacentral:rRNA from 1 species
AUUGACCGCUAGCGGGCCGCCUUACACAUGCAAGUCGAACGGAGUGGCGAACGGGUGAGUAAUGUAUCGGAACGUGCCCAGUAGCGGGGGAUAACUACGCGAAAGUGUAGCUAAUACCGCAUACUAUUGGAGCGGCCGAUAUCUGAUUAGCUAGUUGGUGGGGUAACGGCUCACCAAGGCCACGAUCCGCAGCUGUUUGGCGUGGACGGACAGCCACACUGGAACUGAGAGGCGGCCCAGACUCAUCCGGGAGGCAGGAGUGGGGAAUUUUGGACAAGGGGGGAGACCCUGAUCCAGCCAUCCCGCGUGGGGGAUGAAGGCCUUCGGGUUGUAAAGCAAUUUUGGCAGGAAAGCGGUACCUGCAGAAUAAGCACCGGCUAACUACGUGCCAGCAGCCGCGGUAAUAC